rnacentral:other from 1 species
GUUUUCCUGCGCUGUUUGUGAUCAGCGGAGUAUUGAGCCAACUCUCAUUGAUAGGGUAAUUUCCCCUGCUACAUGCUGGAAACCUUUAUUGAUUUCCUAAGUGCAGUAUGAAUAGCCCACCUAUUAUAUAGGUUUAAUCAUUGCGUUGACACGGCAGUGCGGGGAUUUU